rnacentral:rRNA from 1 species
UACGUAGGUGGCGAGCGUUAUCCGGAAUGAUUGGGCGUAAAGGGUGCGUAGGCGGCCUGCUAAGUCUGGAGUGAAAGGUACCGGCUCAACCGGUACAGGCUCUGGAAACUGGUGGGCUAGAGAGCAGGAGAGGGCGGUGGAACUCCAUGUGUAGCGGUGAAAUGCGUAGAUAUAUGGAGGAACACCGGUGGCGAAAGCGGCUCUCUGGCCUGUAACUGACACUGAGGCUCGAAAGCGUGGGGAGCAAACAGG